rnacentral:misc_RNA from 1 species
UCUCCGUAGGUGAACCUGCGGAGGGAUCAUUACCGAGUGAGGGUCCUCGUGGCCCGACCUCCAACCCCCUGUCUUCCGACUCUGUUGCCUCGGGGGCGACCCGGCCCAUUGGGCGUCGGGGCCCCCGGUGGCUCACACCUCAACUCUUGCAUCCGUGCGUCUGAGUCUUAUAUAUGAAUGAAAUCAAAACUUUCAACAACGGAUCUCUUGGUUCUGGCAUCGAUGAAGAACGCAGC